UGAAACAUUGCUGAGCCCAAAAUAUAAAAGAUUCUGCCAGUGCAUGAAAGUGAAACUGGCUGAGAGCAAAAGUGAAACCAACAGGCGACUUUCACUCCCCAGGCUGAGGGAAAUGCAGAAAAGUAAAUCCUAAACAGGGCAUGUGGCCCAGCCCCUGUUUUGGACAGAAAGAUGGCUGUCCAAGGAACAUGAACAUCAGUUCUCAGUUUAGUCACCUUACAUGUACUGGAGCAACAUAGCUAAGCUGACUUACACUUGCAUCACUACCCUGAACCUAAUUGCGUCUGC
rnacentral:lncRNA from 1 species